CUGGCUCAGGAUGAACGCUGGCGGCGUGCCUAACACAUGCAAGUCGAGCGGGAAAUCCGUGACGGAUCCUUCGGGUGACGGAUCGGAUGGAGAGCGGCGGACGGGUGAGUAACGCGUAGGUAACCUGCCCUGUACAGAGGGAUAGCCACUGGAAACGGUGAUUAAUACCUCAUAAUGCCGGAUCUGCACAUGCAGGACCGGUCAAAGUUUUUUCGGUACAGGAUGGACCUGCGUCUGAUUAGCUUGUUGGUGGGGUAACGGCUCACCAAGGCGACGAUCAGUAGCCGAUCUGAGAGGGUGAUCGGCCACAUUGGAACUGAGACACGGUCCAAACUCCUACGGGAGGCAGCAGUGGGGAAUAUUGCACAAUGGGGGAAACCCUGAUGCAGCAACGCCGCGUGAACGAAGAAGGCUCUUGGGUCGUAAAGUUCUGUUCUGAGGGAAGAAGAAAGUGACGGUACCUCAGGAGAAAGCCCCGGCUAACUACGUGCCAGCAGCCGCGGUAAUACGUAGGGGGCAAGCGUUGUCCGGAAUUAUUGGGCGUAAAGAGUACGUAGGCGGUCUGGUAAGCGCAAGGUGAAAGGCAUAGGCUCAACCAAUGUCAGCCUUGCGAACUGUCAGACUUGAGUGCAGGAGGGGAAAGUGGAAUUCCUAGUGUAGCGGCGAAAUGCGUAGAUAUUAGGAGGAACACCAGUGGCGAAGGCGACUUUCUGGACUGUAACUGACGCUGAGGUACGAAAGCGUGGGGAGCAAACAGGAUUAGAUACCCUGGUAGUCCACGCCGUAAACGAUGAGCACUAGGUGUCGGGGCCGCAGGGCUUCGGUGCCGCAGUUAACGCAUUAAGUGCUCCGCCUGGGGAGUACGCAC
rnacentral:rRNA from 1 species